GAUAGCAGACGAAAUAAUAUCAGCAAUUGAGGCAUUUCAUACCAUCGGCAUCGAUUUUCUAAAGAGGCUAAUUUAAAAGAGAAAUGGAUAAUUAAUGCAACGUGACGAGUUAACGAGCCGAACAGCAUUAAGCAGUCUAACAAAAGCCACCGAUACAUCAAACCUACGAGCUACGGCAGUUCCAAGAUUUAAAAUAAUGCAUAUUUUCUGUUUGUAUUUUGUAAAUAUAGAUUUAUACUACUCUA